AACGAACGCUGGCGGCAGGCUUAACACAUGCAAGUCGAGCGAGACCUUCGGGUCUAGCGGCGGACGGGGGAGUAACGCGUGGGAACGUGCCCUUCUCUACGGUAUAGCCCCGGGAAACUUGGAGUAAUACCGCAUACGCCCUUUGGGGGAAAGAUUUAUCGGUGAAGGAUCGGCCCGCGUUGGUUUAGGUAGUUGGUGGGGUAAUGGCCCGCCAACCCGACGAUCCAUAGCUGGUUUGUGAGGAUGAUCAGCCCCACUGGGACUGAGACACGGCCCAGACUGCUACGGGAGGCAGGAGUGGAGAAUCCUAGGCAAUGAGGGCAACCCUGAUAUAGCCGUGCCGCGUGAGUGAUGAAGGCCUUAGGGUUGUAAAGCUCUUUCAGCUGGGAAGAUAAUGACGGUAACAGCAGGAGAAGCCCCGGCUAACUCCGUG
rnacentral:rRNA from 1 species